rnacentral:rRNA from 1 species
GUGCCAGCAGCCGCGGUGAUACGGAGGGUGCAAGCGUUAAUCGGAAUUACUGGGCGUAAAGCGCACGCAGGCGGUUUGUUAAGUCAGAUGUGAAAUCCCCGGGCUCAACCUGGGAACUGCAUCUGAUACUGGCAAGCUUGAGUCUCGUAGAGGGGGGUAGAAUUCCAGGUGUAGCGGUGAAAUGCGUAGAGAUCUGGAGGAAUACCGGUGGCGAAGGCGGCCCCCUGGACGAAGACUGACGCUCAGGUGCGAAAGCGUGGGGAGCAAACAGGAUUAGAUACCCUGGUAGUCCACGCCGUAAACGAUGUCGACUUGGAGGUUGUGGCUUCCGGAGCUAACGCGUUAAGUCGACCGCCUGGGGAGUACGGCCGCAAGGUUAAAACUCAAAUGAAUUGACGGGGGCCCGCACAAGCGGUGGAGCAUGUGGUUUAAUUCGAUGCAACGCGAAGAACCUUACCUGGUCUUGACAUCCAGGUGCUGCAUGGCUGUCGUCAGCUCGUGUUGUGAAAUGUUGGGUUAAGUCCCGCAACGAGCGCAACCCUUAUCCUUUGUUGCAACUCAAAGGAGACUGCCAGUGAUAAACUGGAGGAAGUGGGGGAUGACGUCAAGUCAUCAUGGCC